GCUGUGGUGGCCAAGUGGUUAAGGCAUUGGACUUGAAAUCCAACGGAUAAUACCCAUGCAGGUUCAAAUCCUGCCUACAGCA